AGAGUUUGAUCAUGGCUCAGAUUGAACGCUGGCGGCAUGCCUCAUACAUGCAAGUCGGACGGUAACAUACACUUCGGUGUGAUGACGAGUGGCGGACGGGUGGGUAAUGCAUAAGAAUCUGCCUAUUAGUGGGGGACAACGUGUGGAAACGCACGCUAAUACCGCAUACAUCCUACGGGGAAAAGGUUGCCUCUUCAUGAACGCAAUCGCUAGUAGAUGAGCUUAUGUCAGAUUAGCUAGUUGGUAGGGUAAGAGCUUACCAAGGCAACGAUCUGUAGCCGGCCUGAGAGGGUGAACGGCCACACUGGGACUGAGACACGGCCCAGACUCCUACGGGAGGCAGCAGUAGGGAAUAUUGGACAAUGGGGGCAACCCUGAUCCAGCAAUGCCGCGUGUGUGAAGAAGGCCUGCGGGUUGUAAAGCACUUUCAGUAGGGAGGAAAUGCUUAAAGUUAAUAGCUUUAAGAGUUGACGUUACCUACAGAAGAAGCACCGGCUAACUCUGUGCCAGCAGCCGCGGUAAUACAGAGGGUGCGAGCGUUAAUCGGAAUUACUGGGCGUAAAGGGUACGUAGGCGGCUCCUUAAGUCUGAUGUGAAAUCCCCGUGCUUAACAUGGGAAUUGCAUCGGAUACUGGGUAGCUAGAGUAUAGUAGAGGAGAGUGGAAUUUCUAGUGUAGCGGUGAAAUGCGUAGAUAUU
rnacentral:rRNA from 1 species